GACGAACGCUGGCGGCGUGCUUAACACAUGCAAGUCGAACGGAAAGGCCUUUGCUGAGGUACUCGAGUGGCGAACGGGUGAGUAACACGCGGGUGAUCUGCCCUGCCCUCUGGGAUAAGCCUGGGAAACUGGGCCUAAUACCGGAUAGGACCGCACUCUAGUGUGUGUGGUGGAAAGUUUUGUCGGUGUAGGAUGAGCCCGCGGCCUAUCAGCUCGUUUGUGGGGUAAUGGCCUACCAAGGCGGCGGCGGGUAGCCGGACUGGGGGGUUGGUCGGGCACCAUGGGACUGAGGAACGGGCCAGGCUCCGACGGGGGGGAACAGGGGGGAAUAUUGCACAAUGGGCGCAAGCCUGGUGCAGCGGCGCCGCGGGGGGGAAGACGGGCUUCGGGGUGGAAACUCCUUUCGCCAGGGACGAAGCGGUUUGUGACGGUACCUGGAGAAGAAGCACCGGCUAACUACGUG
rnacentral:rRNA from 1 species